AUGCAUUUGUAAAUAUAUAUUUAUAUAUUUGUAUGUGUGUAUAUAUAUAUAUAUAUAUAUAUAUAUAUAUAUAUAUAUAUAUAUAUAUAUAUAUAUAUAUAUAUUAGUGGUGGCCGUUAUCGGCGUUAAGGCAAGACUCUUAUCUGGCGAUCGCCUUUAAUAUAUUCUCAAAAUUGGGUUGGGAGCUGGGUCUAUACUAAGCAAGCUAUGAUGACUUUCACCUUGAUAUUUUAUAUAACUGACUCGCUGAGGACAGCCUAAAAAGAUGCUCAGGACAGUCCUCGAAGUCCCUCCUGCUCCUUAACAAACAAAUACAAAUCACAGUUUGAACAACCAAAAAAUGUGAAAGAGCCCAAUUCAGUACUCGCGAUGUUCUGGUGUUCAGGGCUCACGCACAGAAAGGCGUCUCAAAACACUUGAACAUCGAAUUUGCUUAUUUUUGCUCUUGUGCCGACAAAUACAUACAAAACAUGUCAAAAUAUCCACCUUGGAAAUUAUGCUCGAAAAAAAUGUCAGUUAUUUCUUAAGUGAAAGUAGACAGCUGAGGAAAAAUGUGAUCUGUAUUAUAUUGGAUGCGUUCAUCGUCUCUUAAAGUGACCGCGCCUAAUUUAGCUGCUGGCUGCUGUAAUGUUAAUCCAAGAAAAUGAAAAUCACUCAUUGCUCUUGACUGAAUUACUUUGUAGUUUUAACAGAGAAACCAAAAAUUAUUUAGACAUCAGAUAUAAUUUUUGAUAUAUAUAGCGCAACUGUAAUAAUGUGAGAAAUGUGUCUGAAUAAAUGUAGGUUUGAUUGUAUAUUUCAUUUUUACAUUGAAGACUAUCCAGUGCUAUUUUACAUUUAAUUAUUUGGUUUCUGUACCUUGAUUAGUUUUCCAUAAAUAUAAAAAUAGAAAUAUUUUAUAAAUAUAUACCUUUUUUUUUCAGUUGAUGUUGCUGAUAUCAGGACUGUCGAGCGCAUACUAUAACCAGUGCUCCACAUGCAACUGUACCCUAGCUGAAAUUCAAAGUUUUGCAAAAAAUCUAGGAAUCCGCAUUUUAAAUAAGAGUAUCAGCAAAACCUCCAUGUCUCCGUGGACAUACGAGUGCACUGGGGAUACUGACAGGAUUCCUAUUUCCAUUUGUAAUGCUG
rnacentral:lncRNA from 1 species